rnacentral:rRNA from 1 species
AAUGAACGUUGGCGGCGUGGAUUAGGCAUGCAAGUCGAGCGGAAAGGCCCCGCAAGGGGUACUCGAGCGGCGAAAGGGAGAGUAACGCGUGGAUUACCUACCCCCGGGACCGGGAUAGCCGCGGGAAACUGCGGGUAAUACCGGAUAACGUCUCCGGACCAAAGGUGUGAGUCCGCCUGGGGACGGGUCCGCGUCCUAUUAGCUUGUUGGUGGGUAACGGCCUACCAAGGCGACGAUGGGUACGAGGUGUGAGAGCAUGACCUCGCUCACUGGGACUGAGACACUGCCCAGACACCUACGGGAGGCAG